rnacentral:rRNA from 1 species
GAAUAUUGGACAAUGGGGGCAACCCUGAUCCAGCCAUGCCGCGUGUGUGAAGAAGGCCUUAUGGUUGUAAAGCACUUUAAGCAGUGAAGAAGACUCCAUGGUUAAUACCCAUGGACGAUGACAUUAGACGCAGAAUAAGCACCGGCUACCUCUGGUCCAGCAGCCGCGGUAAUACAGAGGGUGCAAGCGAUCAUCGGAAUCACUGGGCGUAAAGCGAGCGUAGGUGGCUUGAUAAGUCAGAUGUGAACUCCCCGGGCGUAACCUGGGAACUGCAUCUGAUACUGUUAGGCUAGAAUAGGUGAGAGGAAGGUAGAAUUCCAGGUGUAGCGGUGAAAUGCGUAGAGAUCUGGAGGAAUACCGAUGGCGAAGGCAGCCUUCUGGCAUCAUAUUGACACUGAGGUUCGAAAGCGUGGGUAGCAAAC